CAAGUCGAACGCACAGCGAAAGGUGCUUGCACCUUUCAAGUGAGUGGCGAACGGGUGAGUAACACGUGGACAACCUGCCUCAAGGCUGGGGAUAACAUUUGGAAACAGAUGCUAAUACCGAAUAAAACUUAGUGUCGCAUGACACAAAGUUAAAAGGCGCUUCGGCGUCACCUAGAGAUGGAUCCGCGGUGCAUUAGUUAGUUGGUGGGGUAAAGGCCUACCAAGACAAUGAUGCAUAGCCGAGUUGAGAGACUGAUCGGCCACAUUGGGACUGAGACACGGCCCAAACUCCUACGGGAGGCUGCAGUAGGGAAUCUUCCACAAUGGGCGAAAGCCUGAUGGAGCAACGCCGCGUGUGUGAUGAAGGCUUUCGGGUCGUAAAGCACUGUUGUAUGGGAAGAACAGCUAGAAUAGGAAAUGAUUUUAGUUUGACGGUACCAUACCAGAAAGGGACGGCUAAAUACGUGCCAGCAGCCGCGGUAAUACGUAUGUCCCGAGCGUUAUCCGGAUUUAUUGGGCGUAAAGCGAGCGCAGACGGUUUAUUAAGUCUGAUGUGAAAGCCCGGAGCUCAACUCCGGAAUGGCAUUGGAAACUGGUUAACUUGAGUGCAGUAGAGGUAAGUGGAACUCCAUGUGUAGCGGUGGAAUGCGUAGAUAUAUGGAAGAACACCAGUGGCGAAGGCGGCUUACUGGACUGCAACUGACGUUGAGGCUCGAAAGUGUGGGUAGCAAACAGGAUUAGAUACCCUGGUAGUCCACACCGUAAACGAUGAACACUAGGUGUUAGGAGGUUUCCGCCUCUUAGUGCCGAAGCUAACGCAUUAAGUGUUCCGCCUGGGGAGUACGACCGCAAGGUUGAAACUCAAAGGAAUUGACGGGGACCCGCACAAGCGGUGGAGCAUGUGGUUUAAUUCGAAGCAACGCGAAGAACCUUACCAGGUCUUGACAUCCUUUGAAGCUUUUAGAGAUAGAAGUGUUCUCUUCGGAGACAAAGUGACAGGUGGUGCAUGGUCGUCGUCAGCUCGUGUCGUGAGAUGUUGGGUUAAGUCCCGCAACGAGCGCAACCCUUAUUGUUAGUUGCCAGCAUUCAGAUGGGCACUCUAGCGAGACUGCCGGUGACAAACCGGAGGAAGGCGGGGACGACGUCAGAUCAUCAUGCCCCUUAUGACCUGGGCUACACACGUGCUACAAUGGCGUAUACAACGAGUUGCCAACCCGCGAGGGUGAGCUAAUCUCUUAAAGUACGU
rnacentral:rRNA from 1 species